GAUGAACGCUGGCGGCGUGCCUAAUACAUGCAAGUCGAGCGAACAGACGAGGAGCUUGCUCCUCUGACGUUAGCGGCGGACGGGUGAGUAACACGUGGAUAACCUACCUAUAAGACUGGGAUAACUUCGGGAAACCGGAGCUAAUACCGGAUAAUAUAUUGAACCGCAUGGUUCAAUAGUGAAAGACGGUUUUGCUGUCACUUAUAGAUGGAUCCGCGCCGCAUUAGCUAGUUGGUAAGGUAACGGCUUACCAAGGCAACGAUGCGUAGCCGACCUGAGAGGGUGAUCGGCCACACUGGAACUGAGACACGGUCCAGACUCCUACGGGAGGCAGCAGUAGGGAAUCUUCCGCAAUGGGCGAAAGCCUGACGGAGCAACGCCGCGUGAGUGAUGAAGGUCUUCGGAUCGUAAAACUCUGUUAUUAGGGAAGAACAAAUGUGUAAGUACUAUGCACGUCUUGACGGUACCUAAUCAGAAAGUCACGGCUAACUACGUG
rnacentral:rRNA from 1 species